rnacentral:rRNA from 1 species
GACGAACGCUGGCGGCGUGCCUAACACAUGCAAGUCGUGCGAGAAAGUUCCUUCGGGAGCGAGUAAAGCGGCGCACGGGUGAGUAACACGUAGGUAACCUGCCCCCCAGUCUGGAACAACUAGAGGAAACUCUAGCUAAUGCCGGAUGAGACCACGAUCCCCUUCGGGGGUUGCGGCCAAAGAUGGCCUCUACUUGUAAGCUAUCGCUGAGGGAUGGGCCUGCGGGCCAUUAGCUUGUUGGUGAGGUAACGGCUCACCAAGGCUGUGAUGGCUAGCUGGUCUGAGAGGAUGACCAGCCACACUGGGACUGAGACACGGCCCAGACUCCUACGGGAGGCAGCAGUGGGGAAUAUUGCGCAAUGGGCGAAAGCCUGACGCAGCGACGCCGCGUGGGUGAUGAAGGCC